GACGAACGCUGGCGGCGUGCUUAACACAUGCAAGUCGAACGGAAAGGCCUCUUUCGGGGGGUACUCGAGUGGCGAACGGGUGAGUAACACGUGAGUAACCUGCCCUUGACUUUGGGAUAACUUCAGGAAACUGGGGCUAAUACCGGAUAGGAGCUCCUGCUGCAUGGUGGGGGUUGGAAAGUUUCGGCGGUUGGGGAUGGACUCGCGGCUUAUCAGCUUGUUGGUGGGGUAGUGGCUUACCAAGGCUUUGACGGGUAGCCGGCCUGAGAGGGUGACCGGCCACAUUGGGACUGAGAGACGGCCCAGACUCCUACGGGAGGCAGCAGUGGGGAAUAUUGCACAAUGGGUGGAAGCCUGAUGCAGCAACGCCGUGUGCGGGAUGACGGCCUUCGGGUUGUAAACCGCUUUCGCUCAUGACGAAGCUUUGCGUGACGGUAGUGGGUAAAGAAGCACCGGCUAACUACGUG
rnacentral:rRNA from 1 species